GAGGCGAUAGCUCGUUUGGCACGAGCGACGGCUUGAGGGGCCGUAGGUGUCGGUUCGAAUCCGACUCGCCUCA
rnacentral:tRNA from 1 species